rnacentral:rRNA from 1 species
GAGUUUGAACCUGGCUCAGAACGAACGCUGGCGGCAGGCUUAACACAUGCAAGUCGAGCGCCCCGCAAGGGGAGCGGCAGACGGGUGAGUAACGCGUGGGAAUCUACCCUUGACUACGGAAUAACGCAGGGAAACUUGUGCUAAUACCGUAUGUGUCCUUCGGGAGAAAGAUUUAUCGGUCAAGGAUGAGCCCGCGUUGGAUUAGCUAGUUGGUGGGGUAAAGGCCUACCAAGGCGACGAUCCAUAGCUGGUCUGAGAGGAUGAUCAGCCACAUUGGGACUGAGACACGGCCCAAACUCCUACGGGAGGCAGCAGUGGGGAAUAUUGGACAAUGGGCGCAAGCCUGAUCCAGCCAUGCCGCGUGAGUGAUGAAGGCCCUAGGGUUGUAAAGCUCUUUCACCGGAGAAGAUAAUGACG